UGGGGAAUAUUGGACAAUGGGCGCAAGCCUGAUCCAGCCAUGCCGCGUGAGUGAUGAAGGCCUUAGGGUUGUAAAGCUCUUUCGGCGGGACGAUAAUGACGGUACCCGCAGAAGAAGCCCCGGCUAACUUCGUGCCAGCAGCCGCGGUAAUACGAAGGGGGCUAGCGUUGCUCGGAAUCACUGGGCGUAAAGGGCGCGUAGGCGGACAUUUAAGUCGGGGGUGAAAGCCCAGGGCUCAACCCUGGAAUUGCCUCCGAUACUGGGUGUCUCGAGACCGGAAGAGGUGAGUGGAACUGCGAGUGUAGAGGUGAAAUUCGUAGAUAUUCGCAAGAACACCAGUGGCGAAGGCGGCUCACUGGUCCGGUUCUGACGCUGAGGCGCGAAAGCGUGGGGAGCAAACAGGAUUAGAUACCCUGGUAGUCCACGCCGUAAACGAUGGAUGCUAGCCGUUGGCAGGCUUACCUGUCAGUGGCGCAGCUAACGCUUUAAGCAUCCCGCCUGGGGAGUACGGCCGCAAGGUUAAAACUCAAAUGAAUUGACGGGGUCAUAGCUGUUUCCU
rnacentral:rRNA from 1 species